rnacentral:lncRNA from 1 species
GUAAAAUUUAAAUGUAAUUUGGUUUUUAGAGGCAGUAUCUUUUUUCUGUGGCUCUACAUUCUGUUUCAUGUGACAUAUUAUGGGAAAGUUCAUGUUUUUUUGUCUUUGAGCUUAUUCAGCUUGUCUUUCCUUUUUCCCCAUUUCCCUCCUCUUAAAAAAAAAAGCAAACUAUAAAGAAAAUCUGUGAAUUUGAAAAUAUAUAAUAGCAUUUAAGUCAGUUUAAUAGUGUGUUCUUUUUGAUUAGUGUAUUAUGUACAGUUUGGAUGCCAUUUUGUGUAAAAUACAUAAUUAAUAUAUUACUAUAUACUUAAUUGUAUAAAGGUCUGGAACUUCAGUGGUGGUUGUCUCUUAAGGACUAGGAUCAUGGGGAGUGUAUGUGUUUUUAGUUUUAUCAGUUAUAAAAUUCUUUGAAUUUUUUACAAAGAAAAUUAAAUAUUAGUAGAAUAUUAAGCUUUUACUAAAGUAAAGAGGGAAACCAGUAGUAAUCUUUGUUUGCGGGAGAAAUAUAGAUUUCUUCAUUUCUUUGCCCCAUAGGGCUGGGAAGAGGCUAGGCGACGUGGUUUCAGAUACGAAAAGGACUAUUGCUGGGAAUAUUUUCUGUCUUCAAACACACUGCAGAUGCUGCAUAACAUGAAAGGACAGUUUGCUGAGCAUCUUCUUGGAGCUGGAUUUGUAAGCAGUAGAAAUCCUAAAGAUCCAGAAUCUAAUAUAAAUUCAGGUACAGCAGGAAACACAGUGUAAAUAAGUAUCUUUUGUCUAUUGUAUCAGUAUUUUACUUUUCUUUUCCCCUCUACCUUCUCACCCCCCAUAGAUAAUGAGAAGAUAAUUAAAGCUGUCAUCUGUGCUGGUUUAUAUCCCAAAGUUGCUAAAAUUCGACUAAAUUUGGGUAAAAAAAGAAAAAUGUAAGCAUUGAAGAUUAUUAUUAAUUACUCGUAAUUCUCUUCUUAAACUUUUGAAAUCUGCUCAUGUAACAAGGCUUAUAUUAUAAAUUUGUUCUUAUUCAUAUGUGGGUUAUAUUCUUGUUCUUUUAAUCAUUUCAGAGAAGGUGAACUGUUUAGCCAUUGGUAUCACUUUCCCUCACAACACAUCCUGGAAUCACCUCUUUGAUAACCCAUUAUUCACAAAGAAUGCUACCACAUGAUACCAGUGUAAAUAUUAGAAGAGCCAGCCUGCUAGUAAAUACCAGUGGCUGGAUAAAAAUUGCUUAGAGUAGAUUUUAUUUCAGAAACUUUUUUCCUCUUGCCUUAUAAAUGGAUAACUUAGCUCUUUGAAUAACAUUGUGAUUUCACUAUUUUGAGAAAUAAAGUGUAAUAAUAUAUUUACAGGUAGCCUCAGUAGUAAUUGGAGACAACAGUGAAGCAUGAGCUAGAAUGAGCUCAUUCUAGCUAAAGGAUACAGAGAAACUAAGAGUCACAAAUGGCCAGUAGUGUGGUUGCUGCUAUUUUGGAAGACACUCUGUAUUAGAAUUAUGAUUGAAUCAUUAAAAUAGUCAGUGACCCAGUGCAUGAGUUUUUAAUUUGAUAGAUGUGUCUUAAGGAAGUAAUUUCAAAUGUUUUCUAACAGCUAUAUUGUAAAUAAUAUAGAUUUCUAGUAGCCAUGGGAAAAUUGUGGUUUUAUAAUACUGUAAUGCAUCUCCAUAGGUGGGCAUUAAAACAGUCAUUGUGUAGUAACAUGUAAAGUAUUUAAACUGAUGUUAAAUGAAAGUUGGAUAUUCUAGAAUUAUAAACAUG